GCCGGGAUAGCUCAGCUGGGAGAGCAACAGACUGAAGCCUGUGAGGCGGUGAGAGCCGAUUUGUGGCGUAUUCUGGAGGUCGCGUGUUCAAUCCACGCUCCUGGCA